AUACGGAGGACGCGAGCGUUAUCCGGAUUCAUUGGGUUUAAAGGGUGCGCAGGCGGCCGUGCAAGUCAGCGGUGAAAGCCCGGGGCUCAACCCCGGAAGUGCCGUUGAUACUGCAUGGCUGGAAUGCGGUCGAGGCGGGCGGAACGUGGCGUGUAGCGGGGAAAUGCGUAGAUAUGCCACAGAACGCCGAUAGCGGAGGCAGCUCGCCAGGCCUGCAUUGACGCUCGGGCACGAAAGCGUGGGGAUCGAACAGGAUUAGAUACCCUGGUAGUCCACGCCGUAAACGAUGGGCGCUCGUCGUCGGCGGCAGACAGUCGGCGGCCAAGCGAAAGCGAUAAGCGCCCCACCUGGGGAGUACGGUCGCAAGGCUGAAACUCAAAUGAAUUGACGGGG
rnacentral:rRNA from 1 species